AGGGUUUAUGCUUUGUUACUAGGGUUUAUGCUUGUUACUAGGGUUUAUACUUGUUUUUCUUCUGAAAUAUCUAUAUACGACUUUAUAAGAAUUGUUCAUUGAAUCAUUGGAUAGGAAAUUGAAAUAUAGUAAUUGACAACCUUUCUAUAAUCGAACAAAAAAACUGAGACAAAUAUAGAUAAAAAGUUUUUACAAAAAAAAUUGAAAAUUA
rnacentral:lncRNA from 1 species